rnacentral:rRNA from 1 species
UAAGGAAUAUUGGUCAAUGGACGCAAGUCUGAACCAGCCAUGCCGCGUGAAGGAUGAAGGUCCUCUGGAUUGUAAACUUCUUUUAUCUGGGACGAAAACGGGAUUUUUAUCUCAAUUGACGGUACCAGAGGAAUAAGCACCGGCUAACUCCGUGCCAGCAGCCGCGGUAAUACGGAGGGUGCGAGCGUUAUCCGGAUCUACUGGGUUUAAAGGGUGCGUAGGUGGGCUUAUAAGUCAGUGGUGAAAUCUCCGAGCUUAACUUGGAAACUGCCGUUGAUACUAUAGGUCUUGAAUUAUCUGGAGGUAAGCGGAAUAUGUCAUGUAGCGGUGAAAUGCUUAGAUAUGACAUAGAACACCAAUUGCGAAGGCAGCUUACUACAUAUAAAUUGACGCUGAGGCACGAAAGCGUGGGGAUCAAACA